AAGAUCUUAAGUUAUAUAAACUAUAAGCCUUCCAAGCUUCUUAAAAGGGUCCCUUAGAUCUUA
rnacentral:tRNA from 1 species